rnacentral:tRNA from 2 species
GGCAGGGUAGCUCAGUUGGUGAGAGCGCACGACUCAUAAUCGUGAGGUCGCGGGUUCGAAUCCCGCUCCUGCUAC